rnacentral:rRNA from 1 species
UACGUAGGGUGCGAGCGUUAAUCGGAAUUACUGGGCGUAAAGCGUGCGCAGGCGGUUCGCUGUGUCCGAUGUGAAAGCCCCGGGCUCAACCUGGGAAUGCAUUGGAAACUGGCGGGCUUGAGUGCGGCAGAGGGGGGUGGAAUCCGCGUGUAGCAGUGAAAUGCGUAGAGAUGCGGAGGAACACCGAUGGCGAAGGCAGCCCCCUGGGUCGACACUGACGCUCAUGCACGAAGCGUGGGGAGCAAACAGGAUAGAU